GGGCAACACACAACACGUAUACGAGUAGUGGGCCGCGAGUGGGGCACUUAUUUCGUCAUCGCGUGAGAUCCCAGAGCUAAAAAAAAAAAAACAACUCUGCGGUGUGAGAAAUGAUGUAACGUUAGCUCUGGAUAAAUAUAGAAAACUCAUUCAGGCAGAGACAGCAGCAGCGGCGAGCCAAGACAUUCCGAGUAGCAAUACUUAUGCGAUCAUCCAACAGACGCUCACACACGAAGCUUGGUAGUUACUGGCUGCUCUAUAUAUAAUAUUUGGUUUAUCGGGGGCCUUAUCAGCCACCGUCUGGCCGAGGGCAGUCAUCGUGGAGAGGCAUUUUUAACCGCCCCAGAACAGUCUCGUGCUGAUUAGGUGGAUCCCCCUCCGAAUCCUACUCCUGGAAUUAAAUGUACGCAACCGAGUCGAUAAACUGAUAAGCCCAUAGCCACUCUGCAAAUAGCAGCAAGGCGAGAGAAAAAUAAAUAUUUAACCCCUAUUAAUACA